rnacentral:snoRNA from 1 species
UGGCAGUGAUGACGAAUUUUAAGGCUUGUUUCUCAAAACAUUCGCAGUCGCCGCCUAAGAGCUUUCGCCCAGCCAGGCUUGAGAGCUAAUGCUGCUAAUUCCUUCCUUGGAUGUCUGAGCCU